GACGAACGCUGGCGGCGUGCCUAACACAUGCAAGUCGAGCGGAGUCGAUCGACGGAAGCCUUCGGGCGGAAGAUGGUUGACUUAGCGGCGGAUGGGUGAGUAACGCGUGGGCAACCUGCCUCGAAGACCGGGAUAACAGCCCGAAAGGGCUGCUAAUACCGGAUGUAGUCAAGGAUCCGCAUGGAUUUUUGAUUAAAGGGGAAACCCGUUUCGAGAUGGGCCCGCGUCCUAUCAGCUAGUUGGUGAGGUAAAAGCUCACCAAGGCGACGACGGGUAGCCGGCCUGAGAGGGUGACCGGCCACACUGGAACUGAGACACGGUCCAGACUCCUACGGGGGGCAGCAGUGGGGAAUCUUCCACAAUGGGCGAAAGCCUGAUGGAGCGACGCCGCGUGAGCGAAGAAGGCCUCGGUUGUAAGCUCUGUCUGGAGGGACGAAGGAAGUGACGGUACCUCCGGAGGAAGGCCACGGCUAACUACGUGCCAGCAGCCGCGGUAAAAGUACUACUAU
rnacentral:rRNA from 1 species